GGGUGAGUAACACGUGGAUAACCUACCUAUAAGACUGGGAUAACUUCGGGAAACCGGAGCUAAUACCGGAUAAUAUUUUGAACCGCAUGGUUCAAAAGUGAAAGACGGUCUUGCUGUCACUUAUAGAUGGAUCCGCGCUGCAUUAGCUAAUUGGUAAGGUAACGGCUUACCAAGGCAACGAUGCAUAGCCGACCUGAGAGGGUGAUCGGCCACACUGGAACUGAGACACGGUCCAG
rnacentral:rRNA from 1 species